rnacentral:misc_RNA from 1 species
GUUAAUACUUUAUAGUAAUUAACUAGUUUUAAUGACCGUUAUGUUUAGUUUUCAGAGAUUAGUUUCUCUGACAAUAACAAGUAAAUGUUAUUGGAAUUGUUCUUUGAAAACUGGAUAAUAGACAUCUAGUUAUUUUAAUCACAUGAUUAAAAUAACAAUAAUUCAAAAUUUCUGUUAUUUUUAAAAAAUAACUAAAAUUUCACAGUUAUAUUUGUAAAUGAUUCUCAAAAAACUGAUUUAAAAUCAGGUCAAAUAAUUUAUAAAACUUUGAAGUUACAAAGGGCGUAUGGUGAAUGCCUUGGGAAUAGG